CUUGGGCGUGUUAUUAUGCAAAUCAUAAAGGAUAUGGUUUUGUCCAGAACUAGAGGUGCGCAGUUGUGGAGAAGCCUCAGCGAAAGGUUUACCUCUAAUAUUGUUAAAGCUUGUUUCCAUCACAAAAACAAGGCUGUGUUUUAAAAAAAUUGCUUUUUCCAUUUAUUUAUUUUUGAGAGACACAGCGAGACAGAGUA